UAUAUCGAAAAAGUAGAAAAAUAGUGUUAAAAACUGACCUUCAUUCGAAAUCAGUAUUACCCCUAAUAGGGUAGGGAUUAUUGUCCGGUAUCAAACUGGCAUAAAAAAAGCGCCCGAAGGCGCUUUUUAGAAGAG
rfam:Salmonella enterica subsp. enterica serovar Newport str. S09097 S_Newport_S09097_mira454_c185, whole genome shotgun sequence.